rnacentral:rRNA from 1 species
GUACACUCCUGCGGCAGGCAGCAGUGGGGAAUUUUGGACAAUGGGCGAAAGCCUGAUCCAGCAAUGCCGCGUGAGUGAAGAAGGCCUUCGGGUUGUAAAGCUCUUUUGUCAGGGAAGAAACGGUGAGAGCUAAUAUCUUUUGCUAAUGACGGUACCUGAAGAAUAAGCACCGGCUAACUACGUGCCAGCAGCCGCGGUAAUACGUAGGGUGCAAGCGUUAAUCGGAAUUACUGGGCGUAAAGCGUGCGCAGGCGGUUUUGUAAGUCUGAUGUGAAAUCCCCGGGCUCAACCUGGGAAUUGCAUUGGAGACUGCAAGGCUAGAAUCUGGCAGAGGGGGGUAGAAUUCCACGUGUAGCAGUGAAAUGCGUAGAUAUGUGGAGGAACACCGAUGGCGAAGGCAGCCCCCUGGGUCAAGAUUGACGCUCAUGCACGAAAGCGUGGGGAGCAAACAGGAUUAGAAACCCGGGUAGUCCCAUG